AAAAGCAGAAAUCUACAGCAGUCUCUCAAGCCCCUUUCACACUGCCAUAUAAUCCAGAUUAUCAAAGCAAAUACUAAUUCUGCUUUCUGCUUAUCUGCUUUGAGCUGGAUUAUAUGAGGCUACACUGCCAUAUAAUCCAGUUCAAAUCAGAUAAUGUGGAUUUUAUAUGUAAAUGUAGAAGGACCCUCAGUUAACCCGAACUCAAGCAACUGGGACUCUCAAGCAAAAAAAUAAAUAAUACAGUGUUACACAAAGUGAUGUUGUCUCAAUUUGGUGUUAAUUACUGUAUUUCAAUAUGCAAUACAGUCAUAUUGAAAUGGUAUAGCAUAGGAUAUGUAUUCACUAUGUCUAUUUUAUUAAGCAACCACAAGCUGCAUUUAUCCAGCACCUAUCAGUCCUCAUUUCUGAUUAGCUGAGGCUGGAUCUACACUGCCAUAUAAGGGAUCAGAAACUGGGUUCUAUGGCAGUGUAGAUGGGACCUGAGAUUUAGGAAAAAUGUUUUGGUAUUAAUACUGCAGGUUGCUUACCCAAUUGACUUCCUGAAGGCUUGCAUUUUGUUUAAAGUCCUGUAUUAUAUAUCUAUCUGCCAAUAAACUUGUUUUUCCAUUCUGACAGAUAAAGAGGUCUGACUCACUCAACAAGCCGUAUGCUCCCCAAAUUUUAAGAGAACUAAAAAUAAAUGUUCCUGUUGCAUGCAAAUCUUGUCCAUGUGGUUAUAUAUUUAUUAGUCGAAAACUCUUGAAUGCUAAACGUUCGGAAAGGCUGCCGCCCACUGCAGAAAUCAGAAACGAGGCUAAGAGAAGACGGACAGAAAGGGUCAGAAGGGAGAGGAUAAAUUCCGUGGUAAAUAAAGACUUAGAAAAUCGAAGAAGAUCCCGGUCUAACAGCCAUUCAGAUCACAGUAGAAGAGGAAGAGGGAGGCCAAAGACUGCCACAGCGAAAAAGCACGAAGAUGAAAGAGAAAAACAAGAAAAAGAAGUAGACAUGUAUGCAAACCUGUCUGAUGAAAAAGCAUUUGUAUUUUCGGUAGCCUUGGCAGAAAUAAACAGAAAAAUUAUCAACCAGAGGCUUAUCCUGUGAUUGCCGGGACAGGACUUUUGCAUGCCUUGCUGUUUAAUUCAGGGGGUGACUUUGGGACGUUUGGCGGCCUCAUGACCGUUCCGUUGGGUCGCCUGCAUCAGAGGAGGCCAUAUGUUUUUUCCUGUUGGCUCCUCUGACCCACUUGCUCUAUCGUUUUGAGAUGUUUUGAGAGGCGGCGGACUUGGCGUUCCAGUUUGUGGUCAGGAAGCAAAGUGACCAACACUUUCCGCGAGGGAGAGAAGAAGCUCAAAAGCAACAUCUUAUAAAGAUCGCUUCUAGAAGAACUUGGCAGAGUUUUUUUUAAGAACUGUUUCUUUUGACGUUUCUGCCAUUGAAAUGCAAUAUUUUAAUUAACUUAAAUGUCUUUCACAGCAUUGAUUCCAGAUUUUCAGCUUAUGUUGAAGCUUACCUGUGUAUAUAGUUCAGCUAACCCUUUUAAUAAAUCAAUAUUCUGUUAUUUUAUUACAAUCUGCUGAGUGGUACGGAGUACAGUUGAUUUUUUAAAAUGUUUGGCUUUAAAAGUUUGUGUGUAGCAGGUUUGCACCCAAAACCCAGAUCUUGGAGGAAAUGUGUGCAAAUUAUGAAUGAUUUUUUUUUAAAAAAAAAAAACAAGAAUUGUAUCAGCUGCUGUGUAACGCUUGAAACAUAAGUGAAAAUGUGAUCUACAUUUUCAGUCAGCCUUCAGAUGAGGCAAAGUUGGGAAAGUAAUUUAUCGUGCCAUGUUGAUUGUGGAAUGCUUUCCUCAUUUAAUAAUAAUAAUAAUAAUAAUAAUAAUAAUAAUAAUAAUAAUAAUAAUAAUAAUAAUAGCAUUACCCACCUCUCUUUGCAGCUAACAUGAUUAAAACAGAGAUAAAUGACUGGCAGGAGGUGCCAAACUCCUGAUUCACCAAAAUGUGGCACAUAAAGAACAGCACACAUAGCACUAUGUAUCAAAAUUUGAAAAAUGUUCCAUUCCUGGUUUGAAAGUGUUAUUUCCUGUUUAAUUGUGCAGUACUUACUUUGAAAGAAGUUGUUAUGCUUCAGAAACUUCAUUUUUUGUGGCUGCCACAAACUAGGAUGAACUGGUUGAGACUCGAUGAGAUAUUCAUUGAAAAACUAGAGCAAAAUAUACUGCAGAUGUCCUGCAAAAGCAAAGUUUUUGUAGUUUAAUAAACUUUUUCCUUGCUCUUAUGAUAGAACCAAUUAGGAAAUGAGAUUUAUAACCCAGGAACAAAAAUUGUCCAACUUAAUUUACUCUUAAUACAUGAGAAGAGAUAGUAUAAAAUAUGGUAGCACAGCAGGGAAUGACAGUUCCUUCAACAAUUCAGCCUGAGUUGAUGGCCACCUGCUGCCUAUACUUAAUAUUGCAAGCACACUUAUUUGAAACACUUGGAUUGAAUCAUCUGGGAGGAUAUAUAUAAUCCUGAAAGAGACCUAAAUCCCGUAAAGGCACCAACCAGGUCCUGUCUGAUCUUGGAAGCCAAGCAGGGCCAGGCCAGGCUAAGAAAACACUUCAAUGGGAGAUGGCCAGGUACUAAAGUCAACAUUUCAGAGGAAAGAAGUGGCCAGUGUGCUCUUUUUAUUCCUCUCCAAAGAAAACCCUGGGAAAUUCACCAGAAGUCAGCAGGUGACUUGAAGUUGCAUGCACACACGCAGAGUACAUCAAAAAUAUUGGCUUUGUCUGUGACUUAGUCCCUGAAAGUCAAAACUGCCCAUUCAAUGAUGGCUGCUUUUCUGGGAAGAAUUUUCAAGAUGUGGAUGUAGAAUCUGAGAAAAAAGCAAACCAAGGAAUUUUAUCGCCCAAAGCUGUCAUAGCACAAUUACGGCAGAUGGCACAGUGUGUUAAAGCGCUGAGCUGCUGAACUUGUGGACCAAAAGGUCACAGGUUUGACUCCAGGAAGCGGAAUGAGUGCCUGCUGUUAGCCCCAGCUUCUGCCAACCUAGCAGUUUGAAAACAUGCAAAUGUGAGUAGAUCAAUAGGUACUGCUCCAGCGGGAAGGUAACGGCGCUCCAUGCAGUCAUGCUGGCCACAUGACCUUGGAGGUGUCUACGGACAACGUCGGCUCUUCGGCUUAGAAAUAGAGAUGAGCACCAACCCCCAGAGUCUGACACGACUGGACUUAAUGUCAGGGGAAACCUUUACCUUAUCUGUUGAUGGUGUUAUGGCAGUUCCGUAGUCUCAUUGUGCUUGAUUCAUUAUUGGAUCAUUGAUGGGAAAAUAAUAAUUCAUUCAGUAUCACUGUUCUUCCCUGUGGGGUAAUAUUCUUCCACUUCAAUCCUGGUCUUUCAUGGUUCCAUGGGUGAGAAGGGUGGGGGUAUAAAUGCUAUAAACAAAAAAAAAUGCACAAUUGUGGCAAGAUAAAAAAAAUAGGCAAAAACAUAAGUGAGUUUGCACUUGUUAUGAUAAACAUAGAUAGGAAACAAGGCUGUGAAGAUAACUGGGAGUUCACCUCAAAAUGCCAGCAUGGCACAGUGGC
rnacentral:lncRNA from 11 species